rnacentral:rRNA from 1 species
AGAGUUUGAUCCUGGCUCAGAUUGAACGCUGGCGGCAUGCUUUACACAUGCAAGUCGAACGGCAGCACGGACUUCGGUCUGGUGGCGAGUGGCGAACGGGUGAGUAAUACAUCGGAACGUGCCUAGUAGUGGGGGAUAACUACUCGAAAGAGUGGCUAAUACCGCAUGAUAUCUACGGAUGAAAGCAGGGGACCUUCGGG